AAAAGCCGUGCGCCCUCGUCGUCACAUCCUCUUUCCGUUGCUCUUCUCGCUUUGAGAAAGGUCUCCACACGAUGAGAGCCAAGUGGAGAAAGAAGCGCAUGCGCAGACUGAAGCGUAAAAGGAGAAAGAUGAGGCAGAGGUCAAAGUAAGCCCUCAUCCCUGCCAGCUGUGACCCCCAUCUGAGCUUCUCCACAUCUAUGGACACAUUCACCCAGGAAGUGGCUCUCUUGAAGCAUCUGCUGAAAUUGUGUCAAGUCCUGAUUUCUUUUCCAUCUGAAACUGGCAAGCUGUGGAUGCAUUAGUGGAAGAAGGCAAAGAUGCUGGAAGGAUAUCAGAUGUGCAGCUGCAUUGUUCAUGGACCAUGAUACUUGUUUACUUGCAAACUGUUAUGUGGUGUAUUGAACAAUAAAUGAACACUGUUAAAUUUCAAAAA